AUGUUUUACUGCAGCAGCGGCGGCUCGGAGCCGCUCAGCGGGUCUAAAACUGAUAUUGUGAGAGGAAUCAUCACCGAGAAGCUGACCACGGCCGCGCGGGAGAUCUUCGCGGUGGUGGAGAAGAUCGUAACCGACUACGAGGCGGAGGCUUCGGGCUUCAGGCAGCAGGUGGACCGCCAGAGGAGGCAGCUGGAGCUCCUGCAGCCUCGGGUCAAACUCCUCAGAGAAGAGGAGGUCCCAGAUCAGCGCAGCCAGGUGGUCGUUAGUGAGGAGCAGCAGACAGAUGUAGAAAAACCUGGACUCCUGGACUUUCUCUGGUACAACGACGAUGAGGAGGAAGAGGAGGACGCUGCUGAUCAGGAUCAAAAGGAACAGCUGUUGGCUCAGCCCACUUCCAUCUCCAGAGGAAAACAAGAUCACCUGAAGGAUCCAGAUUACGAAAUCCCGCCAAGAUUAUCGUCCAGACCUCCAUCUGAGAGGACCUGGCCCGGCAGACCUCGGCUCAGUGACACACAGAACCACCUGGACCUGCGGGUGCGGCUGCUGGAGGACUCUCACACCCAGGUGCUCUCCAACAUCGUGUUUCGGACCACUCCGGUCCGGGACCUGAAGUGUCCCCGUGGUCUACAGGAGUCAGAGUUUCUGGACCUCCUCAGGUCCUCCUUCCCUCAGCUGGCUGAUGGAGAACCUUUUGAUCUCUUCACCACCGACCUCAGCAGGAAGCUGCUGCCUCUGAGGGUCAAAGCUCUGACCCCGGAGGAGAUCUACUCCACCAUCAGGUCUACAGGGAAAAUGUCCAUCUACGUUCGUCUGAAGUCCUCAGGGGGCAGCAGAAGUGAAGAUCUGCAUCCUCCUGAGAACCCUGAUGAUGAACCCAGAUCCAGUUGUGCAUCAGCAUCUUCUGGUCCCACCAAAGGGAUUAUGAGGUUGGUGUCUGCUGGCAAGAGGAGACGUGGCAGACCUCGCCUUGGUGAAGAACCUUCUCACCACCUUCUCAGGCUCUGCUUGUUGGACAAUCCCAACUCGAUCAAGCUCCCUAAUCCCGAGUUGCAGAAAUCUUCGGUGCUGGACCUGAAAUGCCCCCGUGGUCUUCAGGAGGAGGAGUUUGUGCAUCUGCUGAAGUCCACCUUCCCUCAGCUUGUUGGAGAUGACAGAAGAUUCAGCAUCUAUAAGUCGGACCGAAACAAAAAGCUCCAGAAGGUCAGAGUGAAGAGCCUAACGCCAGAGGAGAUCUACAAGAACAUGAAGUCCACAGGGAUCAGGAAGAACUUCAUCUACAUCAAAGUGAAGGUAGAAUAG
rnacentral:lncRNA from 1 species